AAAGUAGUUAAUAAAUAGAUGGAUAGUCUAAAUCAGAAACAGUUGAGGCUGGUCUAUAUAGUCUUAUUAAUUGCCCUUGUCCUAUUCAGUGCUAACAAUAUUUUCCACCAACUCAGUGAAGUCGAUGGGGGACAUUAUUAUGAAUAGGAAGAGAUUCACUUGUUUCUUUGGCUUUCUCUUGGCAUUUGGUAUUUUAUGGGCUGGGUGUUUAUAUUUUUUUUGGCAUCUAUUGGUCAUAUAAUGUGGGGCAAGAAUGGUUCUGUUCCUGCUGUCCCCUUUGUGGAGAAACUGCAGCAUCAAAAAUGACAGCUUCCCAGGGUUCAGCUGGCCAGCAGUCACUGACCAUCCCUAAGAUGUCACAGCAGUGGCUGGUGGAAUUGUGAGGUAUGGUGUCCUUAAAAGGGAAUGUGGAGGCAAGAUCAGGAGGCAGCAGACAGAGGUGGUGGACCAGUAAGGAAGGGUGAGUGAAGCAGAAGAGGAAGAUGACAAGACACAGCAGGGACUAGGAGAGUGGCUGAGGAAGGCUUGUGGAGAGGAACAGGCCCAUGUGAGGAGGCAGGAAGAACCAAAUACAGAGGCACGGCAUUAUUGGCAUGGCUCUGCCUUCACCGAAGACAGAGCACCAGGCAGAACUGUCUCAGGGCCACCUUCAACAACAGUGGAGCAGCAGAGUCCCAACAAAAGUAUUCUGUGCAGGGGCCUACUGGAAUGCUAAAGAAGGAAGCUAGAACUACCUGGUGGAAUAACUUCAUCCAGAAAGUGAUCUCAAAACUGUAAGCCAAUAUUUGGAUUUCUCUCACACACACCACCCCCUCAGCAUGGCAGAUAGUUAGAUAAUGGAUGACAGAAAGACCCACCACCCCCAGAACAUCCCUCUGCUGGAGGGAAUUGCAAUUUGGUUAUACCCUUUGGAUGCAGAGGAAAAGCAGUAAGAUUAGCUCAGUCUCAUCCCCUCCCUUAGAAUAGGGAAAAAAGAUUGGUCUCAAGAACUGUUUGCCCAAACUGUCCUGCAUUUAGCACAGAGCAAGAGUAGUCAGACUGCUACAUCUGUGCCAAAUUUGGUGCUGAUCGAAAGUCUAGUUUCAAGGUUAUAUACUUUGGGGGGGGGUGCCUUAUU
rnacentral:lncRNA from 1 species